rnacentral:rRNA from 1 species
UUACGGCCAGGGCUACACACGUGCUACAAUGGUCGGUACAAAGGGUUGCCAAGCCGCGAGGUGGAGCUAAUCCCAUAAAACCGAUCGUAGUCCGGAUCGCAGUCUGCAACUCGACUGCGUGAAGUCGGAAUCGCUAGUAAUCGUGAAUCAGAAUGUCACGGUGAAUACGUUCCCGGGCCUUGUACACACCGCCCGUCACACCAUGGGAGUGGGUUGCUCCAGAAGUAGCUAGUCUAACCGCAAGGGGGACGGUUACCACGGAGUGAUUCAUGACUGGGGUGAAGUCGUAACAAGGUAGCCGUAGGGGAACCUGCGGC